CUACAGCUAAUACCGCAUGAUGACUGAGGUCUAAAGGCGCAAGUCGCCUGGGGAGGAGCCUGCGUACGAUUAGCUAGUUGGUGGGGUAAAGGCCUACCAAGGCGACGAUCGUUAGCUGGUCUGAGAGGAUGAUCAGCCACAUUGGGACUGAGACACGGCCCAAACUCCUACGGGAGGCAGCAGUGGGGAAUAUUGGACAAUGGGCGAAAGCCUGAUCCAGCAAUGCCGCGUGUGUGAAGAAGGUCUUCGGAUUGUAAAGCACUUUCGACGGGGACGAUGAUGACGGUACCCGUAGAAGAAGCCCCGGCUAACUUCGUGCCAGCAGCCGCGGUAAUACGAAGGGGGCUAGCGUUGCUCGGAAUGACUGGGCGUAAAGGGCGCGUAGGCGGAUGGCACAGUCAGAUGUGAAAUUCCCGGGCUUAACCUGGGGGCUGCAUUUGAUACGUGUUGUCUAGAGUGAGGAAGAGGGUCGUGGAAUUCCCAGUGUAGAGGUGAAAUUCGUAGAUAUUGGGAAGAACACCGGUGGCGAAGGCGGCGACCUGGUCCUUGACUGACGCUGAGGCGCGAAAGCGUGGGGAGCAAACAGGAUUAGAUACCCUGGUAGUCCACGCUGUAAACGAUGUGUGCUGGAUGUUGGGCGACCUAGUCGCUCAGUGUCGUAGCUAACGCGAUAAGCACACCGCCUGGGGAGUACGGCCGCAAG
rnacentral:rRNA from 1 species